rnacentral:rRNA from 1 species
GUCCACGCCGUAAACGAUGAUAACUAGCUGCCGGGGCACAUGGUGUUUCGGUGGCGCAGCUAACGCAUUAAGUUAUCCGCCUGGGGAGUACGGUCGCAAGAUUAAAACUCAAAGGAAUUGACGGGGGCCUGCACAAGCGGUGGAGCAUGUGGUUUAAUUCGAAGCAACGCGCAGAACCUUACCAACGUUUGACAUCCCUAUCGCGGUUACCAGAGAUGGUUUCCUUCAGUUCGGCUGGAUAGGUGACAGGUGCUGCAUGGCUGUCGU